CCUACGGGAGGCAGCAGUGAGGAAUAUUGGUCAAUGGACGAGAGUCUGAACCAGCCAAGUAGCGUGAAGGAUGACUGCCCUAUGGGUUGUAAACUUCUUUUAUAUGGGAAUAAAAUGUUCCACGUGUGGGCUUUUGUAUGUACCAUAUGAAUAAGGAUCGGCUAACUCCGUGCCAGCAGCCGCGGUAAUACGGAGGAUCCGAGCGUUAUCCGGAUUUAUUGGGUUUAAAGGGAGCGUAGGUGGAUUGUUAAGUCAGUGGUGAAAGUUUGCGGCUCAACGGUAAAAUUGCAGUUGAAACUGGCAGUCUUGAGUGCGGUAGAGGUGAGCGGAAUUCGUGGUGUAGCGGUGAAAUGCUUAGAUAUCACGAAGAACUCCGAUUGCGAAGGCAGCUCACUGGACUGCAACUGACACUGAGGCUCGAAAGUGUGGGUAUCAAACAGGAUUAGAUACCCCAGUAGUC
rnacentral:rRNA from 1 species